rnacentral:rRNA from 1 species
UACGUAGGGGGCAAGCGUUGUCCGGAAUCAUUGGGCGUAAAGAGCGUGUAGGCGGUUCGGUAAGUCGGCUGUGAAAGUCCAGGGCUCAACCCUGGGAUGCCGGUCGAUACUGCCGGACUAGAGUUCGGAAGAGGCGAGUGGAAUUCCCGGUGUAGCGGUGAAAUGCGCAGAUAUCGGGAGGAACACCUAUGGCGAAGGCAGCUCGCUGGGACGUUGCUGACGCUGAGACGCGAAAGCGUGGGGAGCAAACAGG